GGAUGUAAGGGCGAUCUGGCUGUGACAGCUCUUACCCGAUUGAUUGCCCAGUUUGAUUUGGCUGAUCUGGCUGGCUAGUCGGGUGUCCCCACCCCCUCACCGCUGCAUGCGCAUCCCUCCUGAAGCUGUGCCAAAGCUUCCCCAAUAGAGGAGGACCAGUGUUUGGUCAAGGAUAUAGGAGUAGCUGCACUCCCCUGCUAGAACCUCCAAACAAGCUCUCAAUGUUCACUGGGGACUCCUCUCUGCAGGGGUUUUGCCUUUCCUGUCUACAG
ensembl:misc_RNA 7SK 7SK RNA